rnacentral:lncRNA from 1 species
UAUAUAUAUAUUUUUUUUUUCUUUUUUUGUCUUUUUGCCUUUUCUAGGACCAGUUCUGGGUAUAUUUUGAAAAUAGUGCUCAGGGGAUUUAGAGACUGGAUGUGGAGUGUGAGAGAAAAAUUGGAGUCAAGGAAGAUGCAAAGGUUUUAUCUUGAGCACCUGGGAGGAUGGUGUUGCCAUUCGAUGAGAUGUGGGAGCAGGAAGUCAGGUGUAGGGGCUGGAUUUGAGAUGCCACAUCCGAGUGGAGCUGUUGAAUAGGCAGUGAGACAUGUGUGGAGUAGAGGAGAGAGGACUAGACUCCAGGUAUGGAUGUGAGCUGCCAGCAUAGAGGUGGUAUUAAAGACAUGAGCCCAGGAGCUCCCGUUGUGGCUCAAUGGGUUAGGAGCCUGACUAGUAUCCAUGAAGAUGCGGGUUCCAUCCCUGGCCUUGCAUGCUCAGUGGGUUGAGGAUCCAGCGUUUUGUAAGCUGCGCUAUAGGUCUCAGAUGUGGCUCGGAUUCCAACACUGAGUGGCUGUGGUGUAGACUGGCAGCUGCAGCUCCAAUUCGACCCCUAGCCUGGAAACCUCCAUGUGCUGUAGGCGUGGGCAUAAAAAAGAAAAGGACAGAGAAGAGAAAAGACAUGAGCCUUGAUGAACUCACUGCCAGUGUGAGAAAAGAGACGAGACCAGAGGCUGGAGCCAGGAGGCAGCACGCAGACUGGGAAGGACCUGCUAUGUAGCUAAAAGGAGAAACAACCCUUGCUACAAACACAUAAAGAAAAUCUCAAGUAGGUAAGGAUGAGAACAACAACAAUAAUAAUAGCUUACUAUAUGCCAGGCUCUGUGUUAGGGUCUGGGUACAUGUUAUCUAAAUUAGUUCUCAUCAAACCACAUCAGCAAUUUUAAAAUAACAAUGAAACCAUUCCAAGGCAUCUUUACACAAACCAAAAUAAAUAAAAAUGAAACUGUUUAGAGGGGGCUGUGGAAAAGCUGAAGCCCUGAAAUGUGGCUGGUGGCACUUCAGCCAGAGAGGAAUCCGGCAGCAAUCUAACGAGAGCUCUAAACUCAGCACACCUUUUGACCUUAUUUAAGGAGGAAAAAUAACUCUUUCCUUGUAGGUCUAUCCAUAAGCAUUAAAAACUGGAAAUGACCCAAGUCAUUGCAAAAGAGCCUAUGAGAUAUUAACAUGAAGGAAUGGCCACUGAACCAGUAAGAACGACAAGUAUGUGGCCUGUGUUGGUGCAGGUAAUGUGAUUUUGUUGUCCUAGUUAGAGAUUGGAUUCUUGUGAGGGCAGAAUUCCAGACAAUUUGCUUAAAGAAGGAGACAGUGGCAUCUCAGGGAUCCCAAGAACAACACAAUAGAUGUGGGUCCCUUAAAGGACGGGGACCUGGACCUGGACCUGGAAAGUCAUCAGAGACAAGACAACGCAUCUGGGGUUCCCCCUGUGGCUCGGUGGAAACAAACCUGGCUAGUAUCCAUAAGGAUACACUUUCGAUCUGGUCAAGGAUUCAGCGUUGCCGUGAGCUGUGGUGUAGGCCAGCAGCUGCAGCUCCAAUUGGACCCCAAACCUGGGAACUUCCAUAUGCUGCAGUAUGGCCCUAAAAAGCCAAAGGAAAAAAAAAAAAAAAAAAAAGACUUGAACAAACACUAACAUCGUUUCUAAGAGCUCAAGGCCACUGCCUUAGGCUGACCCCAGGCCCUGCUCAAAGUGCCUUCCUGAGAAAACUCAAGGCUGCCAAAGGAAUUUACAGGUCAUUCCAGCAACAUCUGAGGACAGAGCCCCUUCUGCCGGUCUCCGGGGGAGGGUGGGAGCCUCACUUGGAUACACUCGUUUUUAACUUUGCUAAGUUUUCUGAAAAAAGCCAGAGCAGUUUAAAUGAUACAUCCAAGAUAGGUAUUUAUCAAAUUCCUUUUUUUUCCCUGUAGUUUCUUGUACUCGUAUAUAUAUACAUAUUUUGGCUGUAGCAUGCAGCAGCUUGAUGUGGGAUCUCAGUUCCCAGACCAGGGGUUGAACCCAGGUCGCAGCAGUAAAAACAUUAAAUCCUAACCACUGGACCACUCGGGAACUCCCUCUUGUACUCAUUAUUUUAAAAGUACAUUUCUAAAUAGUCAUAGAGCGGUUUCCACAAACAUAUAGAGGGAGAAAUGUUCGAUCCCAUUGGUUUGUAUGUUGAUGGGGAAUGAGACGUAAAAGGUGGAUCUAGAAGAGUCAGAAGAACUUAAAGCAAGCUGAGCGGCCAUUACUUUGAGGCCAGUAAUUCUCUACUUAGAAGGCCAUUGUCCCUUUUUGUGCAUUGCCAAUUUCUGCGUCCCACGGUCCUUUGCGUAUGACUCAUACCCAUACUCUUUCUCCGAGAGCCUUAGUAUUAUUUUGGUAAUGAAGCCAAAUAAGGUAAAUGGUGGGGGUGGGGGUGGAGGCAGGACUGCAGGCUACUAAACAAUGCACUUCCCUGGCGUCUCUCCUCUGCCGGAGCUUGUAUUCCUGCUUGUAUUCCCGCUUUUUGAUGAAAUUCCUGUGCCUCCGUCAAAGUCUCCAUCAGACGACAUUUCCUGUAUGGAGCCACCUCUAAUCUGCUGGUUGGAAUGAAUCCCUGCUCUGCAUGCCUGUGGCAUAUUGGAUCUGUCUAUUAAUGACUUUUACUUAUUUUUUGUAAUUAGCUGUGGGCACCUCUGUCUUUCCUCAAGGUCAGGACUGUUUAGGAUUACACUGGGCCCAUCCAGAGAAUCCAGGAUCAAAAUCCUUAACUUAAUCACACCCACAAACUCCCCUUUCGGUUUUGUCACAAAAGGUAAUUUUCACAGGUUCCAAGGAUUGGGAUGUGGACAUCUCGGUGGGGUGGGGGUGGGGGGCAUUAGUCAGCCUAUUACCAAGUGCUGAAUGUGAACAGGAAAACCUGCUUAUUCAAAAAGCUCUUACCUAGGCUUUCUUGUGCCUUUAACAGUGGCAGCAAAUCAAUGACACAACCGACUCAUUGAUUGUGUAUAUAACUGAACAUUGCUGGGAACUCAGCAUUGCUGGGGAAAAAGUGAUAUGGCCCAAACUCAGCCCCUUGAAAACGUGAUAGCUUAAGAGCUAAGUGCCGCUGCUGAAGAGAGGACUGCACACGCUUGCCGUCUCUCAAGGACCCAGAGGAAUGGAAGGAGUUAUCAUUUACAAUGGGCUUCACAAUUCUGUACAGAGAAGUAAGGGUUAAAGCCCACUCUCUCAUCCGGGAGGAACCCAUCCUUGAGGCUCACAUCUGGGGGCCCUGACACCACCCACUCAUUUGCACUGUUUCUGUUCUAUUUCCUUUGGCUGAGUUUACGUCUCCCGGUCCCCGUGGUGGUGGGACCCCCAGUUAAGGAAGAUGGAGUCGCUGGCCUUGCACCUGAGCUUCAACCGUGUGUUCUAGAAAUGGUUAUGUGCCUGGGCUUUCUGUGCUCUCUGUGCUCUCUGUGCUCUGUGCUCUCUGGCACCCCUCAUGGAUGCAGUGACCACACAACUGCCCAAAGCAUAACAUCUUUUUAAAGAAUGAGUGUUUUCUAAAAAAUAAAAAAAAAGAUAUAAGGAACACUAGCUUACCCCAGCUAGCUUUCUUCCCUGCAAACAUUUGUACAUGCACAUAAUUUAAUAUUCAUGCUCCCGACACUGCACGCCUUCCCCCAGAGGGUGGGAGAGAAAGUCUUAGUGACUUGCCAAGACCCCUGGUUUAUCCGAUGCCACACAUCCUGCUUAGGCCUCUUUUUUUUUUUUUUUUUUUUUGUCUUUUUGUCUUUUUGCCAUUUCUUGGCCUCUCCCUCAGCAUAUGGAGGUUCCCAGGCUAGGGGUCCAAUCGGAGCUACAGCCACCAGGCCUACGCCAGAGCCACAG